GGGUCCUCCUUCCUGUCCAUUCCGGUGACUCAAGACACAAUCUCUCAGGGGCCGCCCAGCUCCAACAUUCCAACAUGAAGAGUCUUAGGUCAUCACGAGGGUGACUUGAGGUCAACCCAACCAGUGAUCACUGACCGUCUCCAUGUCCCAGGCUCUUGAUACACAUCAUCUGAGGGAAUCUCCCCCAGGGACCCGCCAAUGACCAGUCCCCUGUCCUGUGGCCUUUCUGGAAAGAAGAGAUGGCAAGAAAAAGACAAAGGGAGAGAGAGAGAGGAGGACAAGACGUAGCUAGCAGGGGCAGACACGGACGCAAGGCGAGAGAGGGGCUCCCCCAUGGGAAGCUUCUUCCCCUGAUGGACAGUUAUGGGUUGAAUUGCAUCCCCCCAAAAGAUAAAUUC